ensembl:misc_RNA 7SK 7SK RNA
GGAUGUGAGGUUGAUCUGUCUGUGAUAUCUUUCACACCAUUGAUAGCUAUGGUUAAUUUGGCUGAUCUGGCUGGCUUAGAUGGGUGUCCCCUUCCUCCCUUACCACACCAUGUCCGUCCCUUCCGAAGCUGCUCACUUUUGGUGGAAGAGAACAGCAUUCUCCCCAGCUAGAACCUCCAAAUAAGCUCUCAAGAUCCAUUUGUAGGAGAACAUAAGGUAGUUAAGCUUCCAAGACUCCAGACACAUCCAAAUGAGGUACUGUAUGUGGCCUGCCUUUCUUC